CUUUUUCAGCAUUCUGUGUGAGUUUGAUGUUUUCGUUUUGUUUUUUGGCUGCAGUAGUUCAACAUGCAUAAUUGCCUCCACAAAGAAAGACAAUGCUUUCUGGUGUCAUCCUUUGUUACUGGAACUUAUUAUUUCUGGGUGGUACCUCAGGAUACAUUGUUGCCUCAGGUGCAUUGUGUACCCAUGCUGUAAAACAGGGGCUUUCGAUGGUGAGCUCGUGUGUGUUCCAGUUGUCACCCAGCUGCCUUCCCCACGGCUGUGAAAUGCCUUUGAGCCCAUGAGCUUUUGAAAUUAAAAAUGUUGAAUCAAGGUGGACACCAAUAGGCCCCACCACUUGAAUA